UCUAGUUGCCUUGGCGAUCGGACUUCCUGGUCCAGGUGAGGAGUCAUAAUAAAUUGAGCCGGGGAGUUUUGCGGCUGGGAGACGCUAGGCAGAAAGAGUAGGAGUUGCGUCCUGGCACAAGACGAACCAGAGGGUGUCCCUUUGAAGAGGUGUCAGAGAUAGCGUGGGCAUCACGAGCGAGACAGCCUCUCUCCGCACCUGCAGUUCCGGGUAGUGCCGCUCUUGGUGCUGCUCUGUCAGUGGUACUGUGACUCUUCGCUUCUUUGGUGUUUGUUUUAGAGUGUCCUGGGAUUCUGAUGGUGGCCAACUGUUCGGGCAAGUGGAUAACAUCCAGUGAUUCUGCGAUCUGUUGACUAUUGCACACCGGCUGGCCAGCAGAAGUCAUAAAUCCUCUUUGUCUUUGCAGCAUGCCACAGUGCUGCACCACUCCAAAUGUAUGGCACCUAUCUGUAGGAAUGUGAGCUGUUUUGUUUUCCACCAAAUGACCUGCUCUGGUAAAAACUCUGGUUCAGCCCUCUGAGCAGAUGGAACGUCAGGCAAGUGAGACUGUCAAUUUUGUCAACAGUGGGUAGCUUAACUGGAUAUCCCGUGUGGAAAUGCCCUGUUCAUCUCACAAACAAAAACUGUCAGUAAGUAAAACCAA